rnacentral:rRNA from 1 species
AGUGAACGCUGGCGGUAGGCCUAACACAUGCAAGUCGAACGGCAGCACAGUAAGAGCUUGCUCUUACGGGUGGCGAGUGGCGGACGGGUGAGGAAUACUUCGGAAUCUACUUUUUCGUGGGGGAUAACGUAGGGAAACUUACGCUAAUACCGCAUACGACCUACGGGUGAAAGCAGGGGAUCUUCGGACCUUGCGCGAUUGAAUGAGCCGAUGUCGGAUUAGCUAGUUGGCGGGGUAAAGGCCCACCAAGGCGACGAUCCGUAGCUGGCCUGAGAGGAUGAUCAGCCACACUGGAACUGAGACACGGUCCAGACUCCUACGGGAGGCAGCAGUGGGGAAUAUUGGACAAUGGGCGCAAGCCUGAUCCAGCCAUACCGCGUGGGUGAAGAAGGCCUUCGGGUUGUAAAGCCCUUUUGUUGGGAAAGAAAAGCAGCAGGUUAAUACCCCGCUGUUCUGACGGUACCCAAAGAAUAAGCACCGGCUAACUUCGUG